GACGAACGCUGGCGGCGUGCUUAACACAUGCAAGUCGAACGGAAAGGCCCUGCCUUUUUGGGGUGCUCGGGUGGCGAACGGGGGAGUAACACGUGAGUAACCUGCCCCUGACUUUGGGAUAACUUCAGGAAACUUGGGCUAAUACCGGAUAGGAGCUCCCGCCGCAUGGUGGGGGGUGGAAAGUUUCGGCGGUAGGGGAUGGACACGCGGCUUAUCAGCUUGUUGGUGGGGUAGUGGCUUACCAAGGCUUUGACGGGUAGCCGGCCUGAGAGGGUGACCGGCCACAUUGGGACUGAGAUACGGCCCAGACUCCUACGGGAGGCAGCAGUGGGGAAUAUUGCACAAUGGGCGGAAGCCUGAUGCAGCAACGCCGCGUGCGGGAUGACGGCCUUCGGGUUGUAAACCGCUUUCGCCUGUGACGAAGCGUGAGUGACGGUAAUGGGUAAAGAAGCACCGGCUAACUACGUG
rnacentral:rRNA from 1 species